CUAGACUCGUCGACUGUUCGUGCUUCGGAGACGAAUCAGGAUUAGUUUGCUUGCCAGGUUAUCACGUGGAUUAGCAAGCAGGUUAUGAUCUGAGAGAGUCUGGUGAUCUCCGCAUUUACUUUUCCUUGGAGGUUCCAUUUAUUUUAGUAGAACUAUCAAACUAUUUUAUUCUUAGACCGCAGUAGUUGACUAGAUGUUUAUAGUAUUAUUACAGUUGUUUGUCGGAUAGGUCCGACUAGUUAUAUUGCUCUGGUAUGUUAUAUGAUUAUUCCGGAUUAUUUAUGUUAUGCCCAUUUUUUAGACUCAGAA